UCCCUGGAGGACUAGUGGUUAGCCCUCAGUGCUCUCACCGCCAUGGCCCGAGUUCGACUCCCAGCCAGGGAA